rnacentral:rRNA from 1 species
UAAACUAGGAUUAGAUACCCUAUUAUUUUAUCUGUAAAAUAUUCCCGGGGUAGUAGUAGAUAUUUUCUUGAAACCCAAAGGAUUUGGCGGUGUUUUAGUCUAUUUAGAGGAACCUGCCCCUUAAUCGAUAGUCCUCGUUUUAUCUUUCUUUAUAUUGAUUUCAGUAUGUAUACCUCCGUUAUAAGUUUAUUCUUUUAGGUUAUUUACUAUAAAUUUUAUUAAAUUUUAUUUCAGGUCAAGGUGCAGCUAAUUAUAAAGUGGAGGUGGGUUACAAUAUUAUAUGUAUAUGGAUUAAUAAAUUAAAUAUAUUAUGAAGGUGGAUUUAAAGGUAAUUUUAAUUAUAGAGUUAAUUUGAUUAUAGCUCUAAGAUGAGUACACAUCG